CCAAUACUUUCUUUCCAUCUUACGAAAUGUGAAAGAAAGGUUUUAUAGGAAGAUAAUAUCAGUAAGGGCAUGUCCCCAUAACACUUGUCCCCGCUAAUCUAAUCUAAGAUCUUGUAUCGGUCAUUGUAUCGCCAUUAUGUGAUGUUUAUGGGGCGUAACAGUAAAACCCAUUAUGUACACACAGUUCACGUGCUACCCACAUCAUAGCUUGAUGACGCGACCUCUAAUUAUAGAAUGCAGUAAAACCAAGAGUUUUGUACUCCUCAUACAAGUCUGUCCUCAAACCGCGGGUAAAAUAAUUAUCACUUUCCCUCCUAAGAUCGUUAUUUAAAGUGAUAAUAUCCUACGGACACGGUCCCGAAUCACAGAAAAACCGAAAGCAAAACAAUCGUUUGAUAACCAACUUCAAGGAAAUAUUGAAAUCGAAA